CCCUUAGAUGUUCUGGGCUGCACACGUGCUACACUGGCAGGUUCAGCGAGCUUCAUGCCCUGAUCUGAAAGGAAUGGGAAAUCUUUUCAAAACCUGCCGUGCUUGGGAUAGAUGUUUGCAAUUAUUCAUCUUCAACGAGGAUUGCCUUGUAAGCGCACGUCAUCAGCGUGCAUUGAAUACGACCCUGUAUUCUGUACACACCGCCCGUCGCUCCUACCGAUUGAAGUUUUCGGUGAGUUGACAGGAGGAUUUUUUUGAAACUGGUUCGCCAGUGGAUUUUAAAUCCAAAUGCCAACGAAUCGAUGGCUUUAGAGGAAGGAGAAGUCGUAACA
rnacentral:rRNA from 1 species